AACGUAGGAGACAAACGUUAUCCGGAGUUACUGGGCGUAAAGGGCGUGUAGGUGGUUUUGUAAGUCUGGCGUGAAAUAUCUCGGCUUAACCGAGGCAGGUCGUCGGAUACUGCAAGACUAGAGGACGGUAGAGGCGUGUGGAAUUCCGGGUGUAGUGGUGAAAUGCGUAGAGAUCCGGAGGAACACCAGUGGCGAAAGCGGCUCACUGGACCACAACUGACGCUGAUGCACGAAAGCUAGGGGAGCAAACAGG
rnacentral:rRNA from 1 species